rnacentral:tRNA from 1 species
AUCGAAAUAGCCCAGUUGGGACAGCGCUAGACUAUAGAUCGAAAAGUGCCUGGUUCGAUCCCGGGUUCCGGCA